CCAAACAGAGUCUGACUGGUGCGCUUGUGAAAAAACUGUUUCAUCAAAAGUCCAUUUAUGUCAGACCAGACAAGGUGCUUAUAACGGAGGAAAAGGAGCUUUCAAUUCCAGAUGGAGACAGUCAACAGACAAACAGCAGUGAACCCCAAGAAGCAUCAGAUGACAUAAAUGAUGCCACACAGUCCCUCUCCAGUGGUGAUCAAAUUAUCUGGUGUGCAGCCAACCAAGCUGUUUUUACAGAUGAACCUAGCAGCUCAAAAGACAACAAUACCAUGUCUAGUUGUGCUGCCAUCAUUACCAUUGAUAGUAUUCACACCUUGCCCAGUCAAGCUUCUGUAAUCUCCAGUGGUAACACAGAUGUCUUUCCCAUUAUAUCGUCUGCUAUCUGCAGUAAUCCCACCAAUGGCUUGUCCUGUGGCACAAAUUUAAAUUCAAAUGAUGACCCACAUAACCAUUCAGCUACCCCCACCUCUGCCGUAUCCAGUGAUCAUACCCCUACCAUCUCUGGUGCUAUAUCCUCAACUGCCUCCAGUGCAUCCAGCUAUAAUUUAACCAGAACCCCCUACAGUACUUAUCAGGACCUAUUUGAGGAAGAAUAUCUAUCUGAUGAUCCUGAUCUCCAAGAAGCCAUUUCAAGAUCUUUGACUGCUAGAACCAAUGAGAGUGAUUCAGUGAUAAGUUUGGAAGGAAUAAUGGAGCAGAUUACUUCAAGAAUAAAAAAUGACGACACUGUGCG